rnacentral:rRNA from 1 species
UACAGAGGUCCCAAGCGUUGUUCGGAUUCACUGGGCGUAAAGGGUGCGUAGGUGGCUUGGUAAGUUUGAUGUGAAAUCUCCGGGCUUAACCCGGAAAUGGCAUUGAAUACUAUUGAGCUGGAGGUUUGGAGGGGGGACUGGAAUUCUCGGUGUAGCAGUGAAAUGCGUAGAUAUCGGGAGGAACACCAGUGGCGAAGGCGGCUUCCUGGCCUGUUCUUGACGCUGAGGCGCGAAAGCUAGGGGAGCAAACGGG